UACGAAGGGGGCUAGCGUUGUUCGGAUUUACUGGGCGUAAAGGGCGCGUAGGCGGACCUGCAAGUUGGGGGUGAAAGCCCGGGGCUCAACCUCGGAACUGCCUUCGAUACUGCAAGUCUGGAGCAUGGUAGAGGUGAGUGGAAUUCCGAGUGUAGAGGUGAAAUUCGUAGAUAUUCGGAAGAACACCAGUGGCGAAGGCGGCUCACUGGAGCAUUUCUGACGAUGAGGUGCGAAAGCGUGGGGAGCAAACAGG
rnacentral:rRNA from 1 species